rnacentral:rRNA from 2 species
AAUCGUACCCCAAACCGACACAGGUGGUCAGGUAGAGAAUACCAAGGCGCUUGAGAGAACUCGGGUGAAGGAACUAGGCAAAAUGGUGCCGUAACUUCGGGAGAAGGCACGCUGGCAUGUAGGUGAAGUCCUUCGCGGAUGGAGCUGAAGCCAGUCGAAGAUACCAGCUGGCUGCAACUGUUUAAUAAAAACACAGCACUGUGCAAACACGAAAGUGGACGUAUACGGUGUGACGCCUGCCCGGUGCUGGAAGGUUAAUUGAUGGGGUCAGCCGCAAGGCGAAGCUCUUGAUCGAAGCCCCAGUAAACGGCGGCCGUAACUAUAACGGUCCUAAGGUAGCGAAAUUCCUUGUCGGGUAAGUUCCGACCUGCACGAAUGGCGUAAUGAUGGCCAGGCUGUCUCCACCCGAGACUCAGUGAAAUUGAACUCGCUGUGAAGAUGCAGUGUACCCGCGGCAAGACGGAAAGACCCCGUGAACCUUUACUAUAGCUUGACACUGAACAUUGAGCCUUGAUGUGUAGGAUAGGUGGGAGGCUUUGAAGCGUGGACGCCAGUCUGCGUGGAGCCAUCCUUGAAAUACCACCCUUUAAUGUUUGAUGUUCUAACUCGGCCCCAUAAUCUGGGGUGAGGACAGUGUCUGGUGGGUAGUUUGACUGGGGCGGUCUCCUCCCAAAGAGUAACGGAGGAGCACGAAGGUUAGCUAAUCACGGUCGGACAUCGUGAGGUUAGUGCAAAGGCAUAAGCUAGCUUGACUGCGAGAGUGACGGCUCGAGCAGGUACGAAAGUAGGUCUUAGUGAUCCGGUGGUUCUGAAUGGAAGGGCCAUCGCUCAACGGAUAAAAGGUACUCCGGGGAUAACAGGCUGAUACCGCCCAAGAGUUCAUAUCGACGGCGGUGUUUGGCACCUCGAUGUCGGCUCAUCACAUCCUGGGGCUGAAGUAGGUCCCAAGGGUAUGGCUGUUCGCCAUUUAAAGUGGUACGCGAGCUGGGUUUAGAACGUCGUGAGACAGUUCGGUCCCUAUCUGCCGUGGGCGUUGGAAGAUUGAGAGGGGUUGCUCCUAGUACGAGAGGACCGGAGUGAACGCACCACUGGUGUUCGGGUUGUCAUGCCAAUGGCAUUGCCCGGUAGCUAAGUGCGGAAAAGAUAAGCGCUGAAAGCAUCUAAGCGCGAAACUUGCCUCAAGAUGAGUCUUCCCUGGGCCUUUAAGGCCCCUGAAGGAACGUUUAAGACUAAGACGUUGAUAGGCUGGGUGUGUAAGUGCAGCGAUGCAUUGAGCUAACCAGUACUAAUGAUCCGUGAGGCUUAACCUUACAACACCGAAGGUGUUU